UUACAUCCGGGUUACAUUCCUCCGUAAAGUUAGCUCUUCUCCAGCAGCAUGACUCACGGGUCUAUCGUUGAAGUGCGUUGCUUCCAGCAACCCAUUUGCAUAAAAGCCAGUCUUCUGAGAUUAAAGUCAAAGUUCGGAUUUUUUCCCCCAGUGGUCUUAAUCCUCUUUCUUUAGAGAACGGCGUAUUUGUGUAAACAAGUCCACAUUUUGUGCCUUGAUCGAGCAACGAAACCUGUAACUUUCAAUCGUCAAUAGGGGUCAGUGUUUGGCCUCUUCACCGCAGUGGCUUUGUGUUGCCCCGACAACAAGCUACAACAGAGGCCGUUCCACCAUGUCUACUUCUGUAGCAAAAGAAGGGAAAAAGAUGAGAUAUACAGUGAUGCUGAGGCCCUCUAAACGCGGCAGCAGCUUGCUCGCCUUGUCCAGCAGACGGAGUUUUACUUUCAGCGGCAGCAAAAUUCUGGACAGAAUGGCGGGUCCUACUCCGAGACAAGCUGCUCGGGUGUUUGAUGAGGAAAACAAUGAUGUGACUCCUCAGCCAUUUUACCCGGCAGAUCUCGGAGCAGAGCCAGGCAGCAGGUUCUUGGUGGAUGAACUCUCUGCUGGAUCAACAUCAGACCAGACAACAUUCACUGGGAGCUUCACUAUGCCUUUUUCAAGGUCAGUUUUGGGUAGCAGCAGGUUAUCCAGCCAGUCAACCAUAGAGUCUGUGAACGAGGAAAUGGAGGAAACAUUUUGCAGACGUGACUUUUCCUUCAGCUUACCAGAAUCUUUGUUACCAGAUGAGAAGAGGAAAAAAGGCUCAGUGAAAGAACAAAUGACACAAGCUCUGUUGAAAGGGAUUAAAGACAUUUUAAUCACAGAGACAGACACUAUUUCUCUGCUGGACAUUCCCCCCACCUUAGUGUCAGUGAAUGCUGAUGAUGCAGAUGUCAUAAUAGAGAGAAAUAAACAGUAUUCUGAAGUUUGUAGAAACAGAGGAAACAAUGAGAAGUAUGUGGAGCGAGCCAUGCAGACACUGAAUGGAGCGACUAAGAACAAACAGAUACAGAACAACCUCAUGCUCAUGGUGGACACAGCCACGAUUGUGUCCGCCUUCGACAUGUAUGCGCCUCCAGAGCAGGAAGUGAUGGUUUACAGCCCUGAAAUGAAACAGACCAAUGAUGCAGAGACUGUUGUGGACUCCAGGAGAAGUCCAGAGAGGAGUCUGUCCCUGACCAGCUCAGCUAGUACAGUUAUUUCCUCCUGUUCGCUGAAAGAUGUAGAAACAGUUGGGAGCAGUUUAAACACACAGGUAGACUUUGAGCUCAUCAUGACGUCAGAUAAAUUCCAGUACUCCUUACUUCUAAUGGAGAGGACUGUACUGCGGAACAACUUCCAAAGUCAGCUGGCUGCUUACAGAAAGCUGCCUUUGCUGGAAGACCCUGACAGACUGGUAAAACCUAAGGAAGGGGAACAGAGUGAAGCAGAGACUUCCUGCUCUCCAGCCCUACAGUGUCUCUGGGUUUUCCGCUGUGAGCUCAGCAGAGGCUGUAGGGUCAGUAGCAUGGCCUGGAACAAAAAAAAUCCGGACCUCCUUGCUGUAGGUUAUGGUGAGACUGACUACAGAAACCAUGAACAAGGUCUGGUGUGCUGCUGGUCUAUUAAAAACCCGACGUGGCCUGAGCGAAUCAUUAACUGUGACAGCGCUGUAACAACUGUGGAUUUUUCAUCUAACAGCCCUGGGCAGCUGGCUGUGGGGAUGAGUGACGGCAGCAUUGCUAUCCACAAUGUGCAGAGUGCAGAUAAUAAGUCACCUUUCAUCAGCAGCCGUGAAUGUGCCAAAAGACACCUUGGGCCAGUGUGGCAGCUCAGGUGGAACCAACAAGAACUGAGCUUCACUGGAGAGGAGAAGGUUGAAUCUCUGUACUCUGUGGGAGCAGACGGCAGAAUCUGCAAGUGGUUUGUCAUCAACUGUGGCCUUGACUGUACAGACCUGAUGAAGCUCAAGAAGAUGAAUAAUACCCUGAGAAAGACUGAACAGAACAAGCCAGAGAAGACAGCAGAGUGUGUGCUGUCUGUUCUCACCCCUGGUCUGUGCUUUGACUUUCAUCCAAGUGACUCCAACAUCUAUUUGACUGGUACCUGGGAAGGUAACAUCCACAAGUGUUCCUGCUCCAAUGGUCACCAGUUUCUGGAAACUUACAGGAAACAUUUUUGUCCUGUGAACUGCAUCACAUGGUGUCCUCUCCAUCCUGAUGUGUUCCUGAGCUGCUCCUCUGACUCCACCAUCCAACUCUGGAAGCAGGACUGCAUUAACCCUUUGUUAAGCUUCACCUCCAACCAGCCGGUGGCUGAAGUCAGGUGGUCUCCAAAGCACGCCACAGUAUUCGGUGCUGUUAACGAAGAGCGGCUUGAGAUUUGGGACCUGAACUCCAGCUUUUUGGAUCCAGUAAUUGUGCAGCCUGCUGCUCCUGGACUGAAGAUGACGUCCCUUCUGUUUGCAUCCCUCACAGACUGUGUUGUGGUAGGAGACAGUGAUGGCCAGGUGACGGCGUACCAGCUGCAGAACCUCCAUGUUGGAGAGAGCAGCCAGGGAGAUGUUAUUCAAGGCCUCCUCCACUCUGCAUCUCCCAAAGAACUUCAGGAGACAUUGAUGUAGUGGACACAGAGCACCAUGAUGCAUCUCUAGUUUAAAUGUAUCUACAAGUCUUCAGCUACAAGAAGUGAAGAGGCAGCUGGAGAGACUGAACCAGAACCAGGCUGCAGGUCCAGAUGAGACUCUGUGGGAUUCUGCAGCAUCUCUUCAAGAGAAGGUUCCAUUGUUAUGACUUCUUUAUAAUAUGUUAAGCAUAAUUUAUGAUCUCUAAAUCUAACAUGAGUGUACAUAAUUACAAAAGGGUGAAGUGAAACAUAUUUAAGUGCAAAGCAUGAUUUAUUUUGAAGAAUGCUCAACAGAAUCUAAUUUUUUCUUUUGUCACUAUCUUAUCUUGUAUUGAUUUCGGUUGCUACGUUACAACCAGCUGUUGCAGUUGUCAUCAUCUUUCGCCGUUUUUGCUCAAUAAAGACUGAACAGAAAUGUUCAGUAAAAGACA